rnacentral:rRNA from 1 species
UUGACUCUGGGAUAAGCCUGGGAAACUGGGUCUAAUACCGGAUAGGAACGUCCACCGCAUGGUGGUUGUUGGAAAGAUUUAUCGGUCAUGGAUGGACUCGCGGCCUAUCAGCUUGUUGGUGAGGUAAUGGCUCACCAAGGCGACGACGGGUAGCCGGCCUGAGAGGGUGACCGGCCACACUGGGACUGAGACACGGCCCAGACUCCUACGGGAGGCAGCAGUGGGGAAUAUUGCACAAUGGGCGAAAGCCUGAUGCAGCGACGCCGCGUGAGGGAUGACGGCCUUCGGGUUGUAAACCUCUUUCAGUAGGGAAGAAGCGAAAGUGACGGUACCUGCAGAAGAAGCACCGGCUAACUACGUGCCAGCAGCCGCGGUAAUACGUAGGGUGCGAGCGUUAUCCGGAAUUAUUGGGCGUAAAGAGCUCGUAGGCGGUUUGUUGCGUCUGUCGUGAAAGUCCGGGGCUUAACCCCGGAUCUGCGGUGGGUACGGGCAGACUAGAGUGCAGUAGGGGAGACUGGAAUUCCUGGUGUAGCGGUGGAAUGCGCAGAUAUCAGGAGGAACACCGAUGGCGAAGGCAGGUCUCUGGGCUGUAACUGACGCUGAGGAGCGAAAGCAUGGGGAGCGAACAGGAUUAGAUACCCUGGUAG